UUCGGGCGUGAAUAUUGGACAAUGGGCGCAAGCCUGAUCCAGCCAUACCGCGUGGGUGAAGAAGGCCUUCGGGUUGUAAAGCCCUUUUGUUGGGAAAGAAAAGCAAUCGGCUAAUACCCGGUUGUUCUGACGGUACCCAAAGAAUAAGCACCGGCUAACUUCGUGCCAGCAGCCGCGGUAAUUAAAA
rnacentral:rRNA from 1 species